CCUAACUCGGCCGGCAGAACUCGGGCAGCUGGCAGAAAGCACCCACAUGGCGAUAGGGCUCGAGUGGCUUUUGGCAGAAAGAUUUAUCAUAACAUAGCCUGCUCCCUUUUCUCACUGCUAUGACCAGAGUUCUGUCUUUUUUAAUCUCCGGUGAAAUUUAUGUACCCUUUCUAGCUGGUUUUGGGAUGCCAAAGCUUUCCCUACAUACCACAUCCAGAUGAAUUCUCUCAUGAUACCACUCAUGUCACAACCCUAAAGGUCUCUAUUGUAUGCCUCCCUGUCUACCUCUUUUCUAGCUUUCUCCUUUCUGCAAUCUACUUUCUCUAGAGAUAAAAUUUUACUAGUUAGUCUUCAAAUGGACCCCAUCUUCUCCUACCCGUAAGCUCUUGUUCCUGUUCUCCCCACAGCCUAUGAUAUCAUUUCCCAUCUAGGAAAUCACCUAUGAAGGACUAGUUACUUUUUGUUGCUGUGACCAAAUGUACUUAAGAAAAGUUAAAUGGAGGAAAAAUUCACCUUGGUUCAUGGACUACAUGAGGUCUCAGUCUGCAGCCACUCAGCUCCCUGAGUCUGUGCCUGGUGCAGUGGAGCAAUGCAGAAUGUGCUGGAACAAAGAGGCUCAGAUAAGAUACCACCUUCCAAGGUCUGGGUGCCACAGACCAUAUGGCCUGUUUUCAUCAACUAGGCCCACUUCCUAGCUUUCAGAAUAUCCCAACGAUGCCUCUCAAGUUGGGAAUCCAUUGAUGGAAUCAGUCAUUGAUGAGGCUAGCGCUCUCACAAUCAAAUCAACAGCACUGAGUCAAACCUUGUGUGUAGGGAGGUCUUCAGCACAUGAGCCUGGGGGGGGCAUCAGUAGUCUUGUGGGGGUCUAGUACAUGAGCCUUGUGGGGGUAUGGGAGCCCUUCAUAUCCCAAAACUACAAUUGUCUCUGUGUGAAACUUUCCAGGAAAAACAAAUCCACUAAUAUUCUCUUCUUUUCCACUAUCCACUGGGCAUUGUUCAUCUUCUAGCUAUGAUGAUUCAAAAGUAUAUUCUGGUAUUUGGUUUUAUACUCAUGUCAUGCUACUGGGAGUACAGCAUGGGUAUGCAUGCAGAACUUGGGGCCAUGCCUCAAGAGAGAUCUCCUUGUUUUUGUUAUUUGUUUGGUUUUGUUGAAACAGAGUCUUUCACAGAGACCUGGUUCUUAGCAAUUAAGCUAGACUGGCUGGUCAGCAAACCAGAGAGAUCCAUUUGUCUCUACCUCCCCAGCACUGGGAUUACAACACUUCCCAACGUGCCUGGCUUUUUAUGUGGGUGCUGAGGGGCUGAACUGAAGUCCUCAUUGCUGCAUGGCAAACACUCUGUAACUGAGCUACCUCAGUAAGAAAUCCCCUCUUAUUCGUGCAUUCAGUGCAUAAUUCAUGGUGAACUUACCAAGGUUAAGGCACUAUGUGAAAAGCUGAAGGUACUGGAGACAUGAAAUGAACAUGGACCUUUUUUCUCACAGGGAGUCCAGUGGAUUAUUUAUUGGGAAAAUAGUUGCAGGAAAAUUUAUAUAAUGAGCAAGGGUGGCAAUGAGUAUUACAGUUUCAGGCGACAUCAUCAGAGCCCUGAGCCUAAUAGGGGACACCAGGCAAAACUUCCCAGAGGAGGUAAUAUUCAGGGUGAGAUAGAAGGUGCUACCCAAAGAAAGUGUGGGCGAAAGGCUGAAGGUGUUGGCCAGUUGUUGAGCACUUGCCUAGGAUGUGCAGCACUAGAAAAGACAGAAAGGAGAAAGAAAGAUACAGGAAAGUUUUAAAUGGUAAAGUAUACUGGGCCAAGAAAAUUACAUGGAAAAAGAUUUUGAAUGCAAAGGAACCUGAAGAAGUCCAAUGAGAUAUGACCACAGAAAGAAGUAAAAGAGAGAAAAUUAAAACUCCAAAGGAAAAGGAACCAGGUAUUCCAGGCACUUGGAACAUGUAUUCCAAGUGUACUGAGAGCCUAUCAAAGGGUUAGAUGUGAAGGUAUGAUGUACUUAGAUAUGUUUUAAAAUCACCCUGAAGACAGUGAAAGGACAGAGAAGAUGUAGAAAGGUCAGGAGGAAAGAGUCAAUACUUGGCUACUGGGGGAGGGGGGAGGUGAGUUCGUAACUGUCAGAUUUAAUCAUUUAACAUGGAUUUUUUAUAGGAAAUAAAUAAUAAAACAUGACAACUUGUCAGUAGUUGAGCUUUGGUGCUCCUCUGGGAGCAUGGAUGAAGGAGGAGGAGGUAAGGGGACAGUCCUUUGUCUACGUGUACAAAGAAAAGAAGCAAGAUGGAAGAGAAGAGGAUGUGGGGAAUGACUUCUUUUUAAGACCGGCUGGGUUCAGGAGCAGCCUCUGAGUUCAUUUGGAGAAAGUGAUCUGGAUUCCAAAGCAAGCUCAAGGAUAGUCAUUUCUACUUGGAAAUUAUCACAUAUAGAAGAAGUCAUAGAUAAUAAAGAGGCAGUGGACGAGAGGUAGAAACUUGACAAGUAAUGUUAUUAAGAAUCGCAUUGGAGGGCAGGAGAGAUAGCCCGUGGUUUAGAGCACUUGUUGUUCCUACAGAGGGCCAGCUUUGGUUCCAGCACUCACCUGGCAGCUCACAAGUGACCGUAGCUGCAGCUCCAUAAGAUCAGGAUACCAGGCACAUAUGUGCUAUGCAAAGACACAUGCAAGAGAAACAUUCAUUCACAUAAAAAAAAAUCUUGAAAAAAGAGAGACUCAUCUCAAUGGAUAACAGUGAUUGCCGCUAAACCUGAUGACCUGAGUUCAAUCCUCAGAGCACACAUGGUGGUAGGAGGGAAGUGCAGGUUGUCCUCUGACUGCCAUACAUGCAUGGCAACACACACACACACACACACACACACACACACACACACACACGGAUUCCAUAGGGUUAUAGUCCAAAUGCAGAGACAAGACAGGUUGGGGAAUAGAGAAAAGUGAAACAGCUAAAGAGAACAGGGUUAAGAGGGCUUGUAGUCUCCAGUUGACCACAGUUUUGUCCUAGAAAGCAGGAGGGAAUUGGAUCUAGGACUCCCCUAGGAGUUAAUUGUACCACCUGAAAUGCUCCCCACAUUGCCACCCACACACACACCUCACUCACAGCAAAUAGCAUAUGAAUUUAAACACUUAUUUAAAAGUGUGUGUUUCACAGCUCCUAAAUAACUCCCUUCAAAACAUGCAGACAUCACCAAGAUUUGAUUACAUUCAUUAAGCCCCCAUAUUCAAAGCAUGCCCUUACAGUGUGCCAGACACCUGCUCGUCAUUGAGUACAUUUUUGUCACAUGAUUAUUAAAUGGCUGUGAUCCGUGGGGGCCCUAGGGACAUUGUGGAUUCUCGGGACAAGUGGACUAUCUCACGGGUCUGCACUGUGGAGCCUAUGUCUUAGCAGAGGUACUCUAGACGUGUGGGUAUAGCUGUUCCCCGGAUGUUUGGCGCUUCCUCGCAGUACCUAGAGAAGGAGAUCUGUCCUCUCCUGAAGCCACACAGACAGGAUAAGACACCCAAACUAGGGAGAUCCUUCAGGACUCAGUUCACAGCUUGGCAACUUGCAGGACAGUUCCCAGCAUCACUCUGUAGAAUUAGUGGCUUCAGAGACCCAACUUGUCCACAGCCAAGGAAAGCUCUGGCUGGCCUUUCCCUCCUCUGGAAGUAUGGGGAGCUGAAAAACAGAGCUCCUGGAGACUUCCUGAAACUAGGGAAUCAGAUUAGCUUGGAGACCCAAGAGUUUUUCUUCCAUAAUUCAGAAAGGCCUGAAGAGAGGGAGAGGACUUUAGGUAGGAUCCUCUUGCAAAGGAGGGGGCACUCCACACCUGGCUGGGGUCACCUGGCCACUAGGGGGCUUUAGCGACACACUGUAGGACAAAAGACUCAAGUGGAUUUCUACCUAUGAGCCAGAGCCAGUAUGUUCACCGGCUCCUACGAACAGAUUUCCUUUCUCCAUCUAAUGGGAUUUAGUUUCUGGAUGUCUCACCACACUCGCUAACGAUGGCGAUCCAGCCUCAGCUUUGAAGUUAGCAUGGAGCUGUACAGCAGGAUUGCCCUAAGGAUUACGACGAACAACAUCUCCAAGGAAAUACAGGAGGAAAAUCACAAAUCUGAGGAUGUGGAGGGGCAGCCAGGAGCUGGACCAGUUCCUGCUUUUCAAAAAGACAAACACGGGCAAAGUACAGGGAUUUAAGAAGAAAAUGAGUGGAAGACAUGAUGGUCAUCUCUGGGGAAUUCACUACUCCCGGGCAUAGCCUGAUUUCAGAAGCAUUUAGAGUUAAGACCCUUGCUUUAUAAAUGAAAUCCAGGCAAAUCUAAGUGCUUACUUUAAAAACAUCCUUUCCUAGAUGUUCAAAAGAGAACAAACUUAGGCCCUGCCAUAAAAUGUGCCUGGAAACUAUUAAUGUAUCAAUGGUCUUAAAUGGAAACAUUUCCUAUAAAUACAUAAGAUCCAACCCAGUUAACGAAAAGUAACUUCCCCUCCACAAAGGAUUUCAGACUUUAUAACUAUCAAGUAGCUAACCAUACCUUUAGUCAACCUUCAGUUCUCAACAAGUAAGCCUUUUCCAUCCAAAACCAAAAAUCUUUGUCUAAAACUUUCUGAUACUGUUAAAUAAAAAGUACUGCAGGAACUUUGUUAGUCACUCCGAGUCUUCAAAGGUCUGUCAGCUUACGAGCAGUUUUCUUUCUUCUCAGUUUUUAAAUUCCCUGCAUUGUGAGAUUUUCUUUCUCUUGUGAGUCAUAUACGUUUACAAAAAUACAUGGAAUGAAGCAGCAGUUCUUCAGUUUUGUGAGAACGACCACGAUGAGGCUGUUUCUGUUCCAAAUACUUCCAUCUAAUUAACGCUGCAGCACAGCUUGGCUGCCUAUAGACCUUGUCUUGCUCAAUCCAGUGCACUCUAUGGGUGGCCUUAGGCCAUUUCUUUAGGGUUAAUUUUAGGUUUCUACCCUUGAUUAUCAUUUACAGGUGUAACUUGCUACAUACAUAUACACACAUACUAACACAAAUAAACACAUGCACAUGUACACACUUGUACGUGCGUGCACACACACAUCAUAUUGCUAAUUUGAGAAGCUUAAUAAAAAUUUUCAAGGUUGUUCAUAUAAAAUAUACUUAAGUAACUUUAAAAUAUUACUAAAUCGGGGCAAGAAUUCCAAUGGGAAUUGUCGAUGAGAUUAGUAUAUGGUUUUGUUGGGAGGUUGUUCGGUUUUUGUUUGGUUGGAGACUAUGUAUCCCUGGCUGGCCUAAGUCUGUCUCUGCACAUCGGGCUGACCUUAAAUUCACAGAGAUCCAUCUGCCUCUGCCUUCCAGGUGCUGGGAUCAAAGGCGUGCGCUAUCACACCUAGAUGUGAGAAAUCUGGCUCCCUUCCUCACCACCCUCAAAGCCCAAGAAAACAAGGGGAAGAAAUGAAGACAAGAACACGAGGGAAGCAGGCGAGAAAGAACACACCAUGAAGAUCAACUCAUGGGAAUGGGAAUUCUCCAACAAAAUCUGCCAACAAAAACAUCUGAAGCCAAUAAACAUUUCUGGAUUGUAUAACCGUAUAUUUUCUGAUGCCUACAUCUGAGCAGCCUACUACACAGCAUUUGGAUUGGCAGUCAGCAUUUUCAAUGGGUAUUUUGGAGGAAGAAAAAACAAAAGUAACCGGAAACUUCCAUGGUGCUUGAAGGAACACAGACAGUGUCCACUCGGUCUUAUAGACGGCAAAUAGCUGACGGGAAGGUCAUGUCUUUUUCAGGAAUUGAUUAAACAUUACACACCUUAAACUUC